GUGUCAGCCGCCGCGGUAAUACGGAGGGUGCAAGCGUUAAUCGGAAUUACUGGGCGUAAAGGGUGCGUAGGUGGUUUGAUAAGUUAGUUGUGAAAUUCCUGGGCUCAACCUGGGCACUGCAACUGAUACUGUUGAACUCGAGUAUGGGAGAGGGUAGUGGAAUUUCCGGUGUAGCGGUGAAAUGCGUAGAGAUCGGAAGGAACACCAGUGGCGAAGGCGGCUACCUGGCCUAAUACUGACACUGAGGCACGAAAGCGUGGGGAGCAAACAGGAUUAGAUACCCUGGUAGUCCACGCCGUAAACGAUGUCAACUAGCCGUUGGAUAUAUGAAUAUAUUUAGUGGCGCAGCAAACGCGAUAAGUUGACCGCCUGGGGAGUACGGUCGCAAGAUUAAAACUCAAAGAAAUUGACGG
rnacentral:rRNA from 1 species